rnacentral:lncRNA from 1 species
UAUAUCUUGGGAACUCUGAAAAAGGGGUUCUGGAACCCUGGAGAGUGAGAAGGGGGAGUUUUGAAGGUGCAAUAGUCAUCUUGGGACUUGGGACUUCCUGUCCUGAAGCAAGAGAGGAAGGAGCUGCUUACUGCUGAGCCUAUUCUAACCAAGCCUAUUGGUUACUUGUUAAUCAUCUGCUCUGUGAGGCAUUAGGUGAAGAGAUGGGGAUAGAAAGGCAAAGCAGAAAACAGGCCCUGCCCUCAAGAGCUUCCGUUCUACUGGGAAGGGAGACAAGGAACAUGGACUACAGGAUGAGCACUAGAGGCAUAUUAAUGGAAAACCACUCCCUGCCUGCCUUAAGGAAGCUCACAUUCUCGCAAAAGAAAGUUCCAACUGUAACUCAGACUGAAUGACCCUGAGUUCCCAGCAGAGAAGAUGGCAGUAAAUCUGGAUGACUUAUUUCCAUUGAUAAAGUCA